rnacentral:rRNA from 1 species
CCUACGGGUGACAGCAGUCGAGAAUCAUUCACAAUGGGGGAAACCCUGAUGGUGCGACGCCGCGUGGGGGAAUGAAGGUCUUCGGAUUGUAAACCCCUGUCAUGUGGGAGCAAAUUAAAAAGAUAGUACCACAAGAGGAAGAGACGGCUAACUCUGUGCCAGCAGCCGCGGUAAUACAGAGGUCUCAAGCGUUGUUCGGAAUCACUGGGCGUAAAGUGUGCGUAGGCUGUUUCGUAAGUCGUGUGUGAAAGGCGCGGGCUCAACCCGCGGACGGCACAUGAUACUGCGAGACUAGAGUAAUGGAGGGGAACCCGGAAUUCUCGGUGUAGCAGUGAAAUGCGUAGAUAUCGAGAGGAACACUCGUGGCGAAGGCGGGUUCCUGGACAUUAACUGACGCUGAGGCACGAAGGCCAGGGGAGCGAAAGGGAUUAGAUACCCGAGUAGUC